GGCACUACGGUGCUGAAGCAACAAAUGCCCUGCUUCCAGGAAAAGCCUCUAAGCAUCAGGUAACAUCAAAUCGUACCCCAAACCGACACAGGUGGUCAGGUAGAGAAUACCAAGGCGCUUGAGAGAACUCGGGUGAAGGAACUAGGCAAAAUGGUGCCGUAACUUCGGGAGAAGGCACGCUGAUAUGUAGGUGAAGUCCCUCGCGGAUGGAGCUGAAAUCAGUCGAAGAUACCAGCUGGCUGCAACUGUUUAUUAAAAACACAGCACUGUGCAAACACGAAAGUGGACGUAUACGGUGUGACGCCUGCCCGGUGCCGGAAGGUUAAUUGAUGGGGUCAGCGCAAGCGAAGCUCUUGAUCGAAGCCCCGGUAAACGGCGGCCGUAACUAUAACGGUCCUAAGGUAGCGAAAUUCCUUGUCGGGUAAGUUCCGACCUGCACGAAUGGCGUAAUGAUGGCCAGGCUGUCUCCACCCGAGACUCAGUGAAAUUGAACUCGCUGUGAAGAUGCAGUGUACCCGCGGCAAGACGGAAAGACCCCGUGAACCUUUACUAUAGCUUGACACUGAACAUUGAGCCUUGAUGUGUAGGAUAGGUGGGAGGCUUUGAAGUGUGGACGCCAGUCUGCAUGGAGCCGACCUUGAAAUACCACCCUUUAAUGUUUGAUGUUCUAACGUUGACCCGUAAUCCGGGUUGCGGACAGUGUCUGGUGGGUAGUUUGACUGGGGCGGUCUCCUCCUAAAGAGUAACGGAGGAGCACGAAGGUUGGCUAAUCCUGGUCGGACAUCAGGAGGUUAGUGCAAUGGCAUAAGCCAGCUUGACUGCGAGCGUGACGGCGCGAGCAGGUGCGAAAGCAGGUCAUAGUGAUCCGGUGGUUCUGAAUGGAAGGGCCAUCGCUCAACGGAUAAAAGGUACUCCGGGGAUAACAGGCUGAUACCGCCCAAGAGUUCAUAUCGACGGCGGUGUUUGGCACCUCGAUGUCGGCUCAUCACAUCCUGGGGCUGAAGUAGGUCCCAAGGGUAUGGCUGUUCGCCAUUUAAAGUGGUACGCGAGCUGGGUUUAGAACGUCGUGAGACAGUUCGGUCCCUAUCUGCCGUGGGCGCUGGAGAACUGAGGGGGGCUGCUCCUAGUACGAGAGGACCGGAGUGGACGCAUCACUGGUGUUCGGGUUGUCAUGCCAAUGGCACUGCCCGGUAGCUAAAUGCGGAAGAGAUAAGUGCUGAAAGCAUCUAAGCACGAAACUUGCCCCGAGAUGAGUUCUCCCUGACUCCUUGAGAGUCCUGAAGGAACGUUGAAGACGACGACGUUGAUAGGCCGGGUGUGUAAGCGCAGCGAUGCGUUGAGCUAACCGGUACUAAUGAACCGUGAGGCUUAACCUUACAACGCCGAAG
rnacentral:rRNA from 1 species